CCUACGGGAGGCAGCAGUAGGGAAUCUUGCGCAAUGGGCGAAAGCCUGACGCAGCAACGCCGCGUGAACGAGACGCCCUUCGGGGUGUAAAGUUCUGUCAGUGGGGACGAAAAAUGACGGUACCCACAGAGGAAGCACCGGCUAACUCCGUGCCAGCAGCCGCGGUAAUACGGAGGGUGCAAGCGUUGUCCGGACGCAUUGGGCGUAAAGAGUUCGUAGGCGGCAUGUAAAGUCAGGUGUUAAAGGCGCAGGCUCAACCUGUGUAUGGCACUUGAUACUUGCAAGCUGGAAUGCGGUAGAGGUAAAGGGAAUUCCUGGUGUAGCGGUGAAAUGCUUAGAUAUCACGCAGAACCCCGAUUGCGAAGGCAGCCUGCCAAGCCAUGACUGACGCUGAUGCACGAAAGCGUGGGGAUCAAACAGGAUUAGAUACCCUAGUAGUC
rnacentral:rRNA from 1 species